rnacentral:lncRNA from 1 species
AUAAUAUCUUGUUAACAGAAACUUCUGACUAGCACUAUAAGUUCUUGGUCACACCAGAUCAGUCUGUUACACUCUGUAUUAUCAACCUCAGCAGACUUUUACAAUUCUUGAUCACACAAGAAAGGUUGGAACAAUUCUUUCUCAAACUAUUAUGACAAAUAGACUUGAGACUAAAAUACAAUUUGUAUGAUGAAAGGAUUUGUUGGAUCGAAAUUUCUCAACACAUGUUUGAGAUUUAAAUAAACAAACUCAAAAGAUUAUGAUCCAAUGAUAUAGGGUGAGAGCUUGGAGUUUGUUUGUUGUUGAAGAGUUUUUGAAUGUAGUGAUAAUUUUCACUUGAGUGAGAGAUGAUUUC